rnacentral:tRNA from 1 species
CACGCUGAAGCUGAUUAUAGCAUUUAACUGUUAAUUAAAAGGUGGCCUUACUAGGUCAGUGUGA